GAUGAACGCUGGCGGCGUGCUUAACACAUGCAAGUCGAGCGAUGAAGUUUCCUUCGGGAAACGGAUUAGCGGCGGACGGGUGAGUAACACGUGGGUAACCUGCCUCAUAGAGUGGAAUAGCCUUCCGAAAGGAAGAUUAAUACCGCAUAAUGUUGAAAGAUGGCAUCAUCAUUCAACCAAAGGAGCAAUCCGCUAUGAGAUGGACCCGCGGCGCAUUAGCUAGUUGGUGGGGUAACGGCCUACCAAGGCGACGAUGCGUAGCCGACCUGAGAGGGUGAUCGGCCACAUUGGGACUGAGACACGGCCCAGACUCCUACGGGAGGCAGCAGUGGGGAAUAUUGCACAAUGGGGGAAACCCUGAUGCAGCAACGCCGCGUGAGUGAUGAAGGUUUUCGGAUCGUAAAGCUCUG
rnacentral:rRNA from 1 species